UUGAAGAGUUUGAUCAUGGCUCAGAUUGAACGCUGGCGGCAGGCCUAACACAUGCAAGUCGAGCGGUAGCACAGAGAGCUUGCUCUCGGGUGACGAGCGGCGGACGGGUGAGUAAUGUCUGGGAAACUGCCUGAUGGAGGGGGAUAACUACUGGAAACGGUAGCUAAUACCGCAUAAUGUCGCAAGACCAAAGUGGGGGACCUUCGGGCCUCAUGCCAUCAGAUGUGCCCAGAUGGGAUUAGCUAGUAGGUGGGGUAACGGCUCACCUAGGCGACGAUCCCUAGCUGGUCUGAGAGGAUGACCAGCCACACUGGAACUGAGACACGGUCCAGACUCCUACGGGAGGCAGCAGUGGGGAAUAUUGCACAAUGGGCGCAAGCCUGAUGCAGCCAUGCCGCGUGUGUGAAGAAGGCCUUCGGGUUGUAAAGCACUUUCAGCGGGGAGGAAGGCGUUAAGGUUAAUAACCUUGGCGAUUGACGUUACCCGCAGAAGAAGCACCGGCUAACUCCGUGCCAGCAGCCGCGGUAAUACGGAGGGUGCAAGCGUUAAUCGGAAUUACUGGGCGUAAAGCGCACGCAGGCGGUCUGUCAAGUCGGAUGUGAAAUCCCCGGGCUCAACCUGGGAACUGCAUUCGAAACUGGCAGGCUAGAGUCUUGUAGAGGGGGGUAGAAUUCCAGGUGUAGCGGUGAAAUGCGUAGAGAUCUGGAGGAAUACCGGUGGCGAAGGCGGCCCCCUGGACAAAGACUGACGCUCAGGUGCGAAAGCGUGGGGAGCAAACAGGAUUAGAUACCCUGGUAGUCCACGCCGUAAACGAUGUCGAUUUGGAGGUUGUGCCCUUGAGGCGUGGCUUCCGGAGCUAACGCGUUAAAUCGACCGCCUGGGGAGUACGGCCGCAAGGUUAAAACUCAAAUGAAUUGACGGGGGCCCGCACAAGCGGUGGAGCAUGUGGUUUAAUUCGAUGCAACGCGAAGAACCUUACCUGGUCUUGACAUCCACAGAACUUUCCAGAGAUGGAUUGGUGCCUUCGGGAACUGUGAGACAGGUGCUGCAUGGCUGUCGUCAGCUCGUGUUGUGAAAUGUUGGGUUAAGUCCCGCAACGAGCGCAACCCUUAUCCUUUGUUGCCAGCGGUUCGGCCGGGAACUCAAAGGAGACUGCCAGUGAUAAACUGGAGGAAGGUGGGGAUGACGUCAAGUCAUCAUGGCCCUUACGACCAGGGCUACACACGUGCUACAAUGGCAUAUACAAAGAGAAGCGACCUCGCGAGAGCAAGCGGACCUCAUAAAGUAUGUCGUAGUCCGGAUUGGAGUCUGCAACUCGACUCCAUGAAGUCGGAAUCGCUAGUAAUCGUAGAUCAGAAUGCUACGGUGAAUACGUUCCCGGGCCUUGUACACACCGCCCGUCACACCAUGGGAGUGGGUUGCAAAAGAAGUAGGUAGCUUAACCUUCGGGAGGGCGCUUACCACUUUGUGAUUCAUGACUGGGGUGAAGUCGUAACAAGGUAACCGUAGGGGAACCUGCGGUUGGAUCACCUCCUU
rnacentral:rRNA from 1 species